rnacentral:rRNA from 1 species
ACGCUGGCGGCGUGCCUAAUACAUGCAAGUAGAACGCUGAAGGAGGAGCUUGCUUCUCUGGAUGAGUUGCGAACGGGUGAGUAACGCGUAGGUAACCUGCCUGGUAGCGGGGGAUAACUAUUGGAAACGAUAGCUAAUACCGCAUAACAGUAGAUGUUGCAUGACAUUUGCUUAAAAGGUGCAAUUGCAUCACUACCAGAUGGACCUGCGUUGUAUUAGCUAGUUGGUGGGGUAACGGCUCACCAAGGCGACGAUACAUAGCCGACCUGAGAGGGUGAUCGGCCACACUGGGACUGAGACACGGCCCAGACUCCUACGGGAGGCAGCAGUAGGGAAUCUUCGGCAAUGGACGGAAGUCUGACCGAGCAACGCCGCGUGAGUGAAGAAGGUUUUCGGAUCGUAAAGCUCUGUUGUAAGAGAAGAACAGAUGUGAGAGUGGAGAGUUCACACUGUGACGGUAUCUUACCAGAAAGGGACGGCUAACUACGUGCCAGCAGCCGCGGUAAUACGUAGGUCCCGAGCGUUGUCCGGAUUUAUUGGGCGUAAAGCGAGCGCAGGCGGUUAGAUAAGUCUGAAGUUAAAGGCUGUGGCUUAACCAUAGUACGCUUUGGAAACUGUUUAACUUGAGUGCAAGAGGGGAGAGUGGAAUUCCAUGUGUAGCGGUGAAAUGCGUAGAUAUAUGGAGGAACACCGGUGGCGAAAGCGGCUCUCUGGCUUGUAACUGACGCUGAGGCUCGAAAGCGUGGGGAGCAAACAGGAUUAGAUACCCCUGGUAGUCCACGCCGUAAACGAUGAGUGCUAGGUGUUAGACCCUUUCCGGGGUUUAGUGCCGCAGCUAACGCAUUAAGCACUCCGCCUGGGGAGUACGACCGCAAGGUUGAAACUCAAAGGAAUUGAC